rnacentral:lncRNA from 1 species
AGAUCAUUUUUGAAAUUAUGGCAAAGUCAAGGGCACCCGCUGGUACCCUCCAUGACCAGUUGUGUUUCAGAGAAGGCAGAUCUAGUCCAUUCAAGGCCAGGAUCCCCCGGAGGUCAGUACAUUAUUUGCCCAGUGAACUGUGGGCAUAUCUAUACUUUUUGCACUUUUCCAGGCAGGAAGGAGGAAGUAGUACUGAGAACCCACUGUCUUGGGUUAAGGAGCAUUCUCUGGGCUGCUUAGGGGAGAAGAUUUCUAUCCCAAGGUCCUGCAGCCUUGGGGUAAGAUGGGAGCAGAGAAGACAGAGUGUGGGGCCACUGUGGAGGCAGCAGGGAGGGGUUCCUUGUGGCCACUGAUCGGAGCCCUCAUAUUCCUUGUGGGGAGGCUCUAAUUUCUCCAGAGAUGCUUCUCUACUUGGAGGUCUGCCCUGUGUCGGGAGCAUUAGUGGCCCUGCAGAGAGGUGGGACGUUAUUUGGAUACUCUUGCUCGUAGGGAGUUUGUUGCCUCCCAAAAGGUGUGUGGCAUUUGUAAGUUGUUCUCCUUUUCCAUGGUUCUUCAGAAGACUUGAAUAUGGUUUGUAAUCUAGGCACCAAAAUUGAAAUUCCCUCCAAAGAGCCACACAAAUAAAUGACCUCCCAUACCAUUAAGUUCUCUCUAUGCAUGGCAAUCCCUAGUUAACCUCAGACAGGUAAGAAGAGAGAGUGUUUUUCAUCAAUGACAAGGAAAGUUUUUUCUGGCUAAUGUGGUAUAGUAGCAAAUGCAACUAAAAAGGACACCCCCAAGCAUGUCUUUAAUUCAUUUGUACACAUCCAACAACAUCACUUUUAAGUACACAUAGGUAGGAUAAAUAUUUAGUCAUUAAGUAUCUGAAGUUAUUGUAAUUCUAUUUCAGCACUAUUCUUUUCCCUACAUUAAAAAAAAAUUUCUAGACUGUGCUUCAACCUCAAAGGACAUACCUUGGACAGAAUAUUCCAUUAAAGACAUUGUUGGAGCAACUUUUAUUAUUCAUUAGUGUGUUUUAAAGUGGACCUGAACAGAAAUGCUUUUUGCUAAAGUAAAAAUACAUCCGUUUCUAUGAUCUAAUUGUGCAAUUGGUUAGAAUUUCUAUCUAUCAGUUCAAAGGGAAACUUGGUUUCAGUGAAUUUGUUUUUAAUAAAAAUGUGCUAUCUAUGAUAAAUAUAUUUCACUUUGUUCAAAUGGAUUUGAUUGGGAAAACAUAUUGAGCAGAAGUACUGGUACAGCUUAAUUUCAUUGCUUUGAGAAAACGUAUUGAAUGCUGGUUUGAAUUAAAUUCUAUUUGUUUUAAUAAAAGUGUAUUGGCCUGAGUGUACAUAUAUUUGUUUUAGUGGUAGUGCAUUGGAUC